rnacentral:misc_RNA from 1 species
AAGAAAGGGGGGCAUGAGCUAUAACAGUAGACCUUAGAUGCAUAUGAAGCCACAUAUCUACAAAAUGUGAAAGAGAAUACAAAUUGCAGACCAUCUCAGAGGCAAAUGUAUGAUGAAAAUUUAACUCCUAAGUUGUACAACAUAUGUUUUGACUAAAUUGAUUGCUCAAAGAAUUAGGAAUUUGCCAAUGUGACACCGAAAUCACAAGGAACGGUCGAACAUGAGUGAAGCUAAUACUAUUCCAGGCAAAACUCGAAUAUCAACAAAUAUUAUUUAAAUUUCCCCACAAUAUACAAAUUCUAAAGGCUGGUGACACAAGAUAUAGAAAGAAAUCACAUCUUAGACACAGUUAAACACAUGAAGGUAGUAGAAACUACUUACGAAAACAAAGAACCGAAAAUAAUGAAAGCUAAGGAUACAUAACAUAAACAGAAUGGGACUAGAGAUUAAAA